rnacentral:rRNA from 1 species
GAUGAACGCUGGCGGCGUGCCUAAUACAUGCAAGUCGAGCGAACAGACGAGGAGCUUGCUCCUCUGACGUUAGCGGCGGACGGGUGAGUAACACGUGGAUAACCUACCUAUAAGACUGGGAUAACUUCGGGAAACCGGAGCUAAUACCGGAUAAUAUAUUGAACCGCAUGGUUCAAUAGUGAAAGACGGUUUUGCUGUCACUUAUAGAUGGAUCCGCGCCGCAUUAGCUAGUUGGUAAGGUAACGGCUUACCAAGGCAACGAUGCGUAGCCGACCUGAGAGGGUGAUCGGCCAAACUGGAACUGAGACACGGUCCAGACUCCUACGGGAGGCAGCAGUAGGGAAUCUUCCGCAAUGGGCGAAAGCUUGACGGAGCAACGCCGCGUGAGUGAUGAAGGUCUUCGGAUCGUAAAACUCUGUUAUUAGGGAAGAACAAAUGUGUAAGUAACUAUGCACGUCUUGACGGGACCUAAUCAGAAAGCCACGGCUAACUACGUG